rnacentral:rRNA from 1 species
UGAACGCUGGCGGUAUGCUUAACACAUGCAAGUCGAACGGAAACGAUACUAGCUUGCUAGUAGGCGUCGAGUGGCGGACGGGUGAGUAACGCGUAGGAAUCUGCCUGAUAGUGGGGGAUAGCCCGAAGAAAUUCGGAUUAAUACCGCAUAAUCUAUUCGUAGUAAAGUGGGGGACUUUCGAGCCUCACGCUAUCAGAUGAGCCUGCGUAAGAUUAGCUAGUUGGUAGGGUAAAAGCCUACCAAGGCUACGAUCUUUAGCUGGUCUGAGAGGAUGAUCAGCCACAUCGGGACUGAGACACGGCCCGAACUCCUACGGGAGGCAGCAGUGGGGAAUAUUGGACAAUGGGGGCAACCCUGAUCCAGCAAUACCGCGUGUGUGAAGAAGGCCUGAGGGUUGUAAAGCACUUUCAAUUGUGAAGAAAAGUUAACGGUUAAUAACCGUUAGCCUUGACGUUAACUUUAGAAGAAGCACCGGCUAACUCCGUGCCAGCAGCCGCGGUAAUACGGAGGGUGCAAGCGUUAAUCGGAAUUACUGGGCGUAAAGCGUGCGUAGGCGGUUUAUUAAGUCAGAUGUGAAAGCCCCGGGCUUAACCUGGGAACUGCAUUUGAAACUGGUCAACUAGAGUAUGGUAGAGGAAAGUGGAAUUUCUGGUGUAGCGGUGAAAUGCGUAGAUAUCAGAAGGAACAUCAAUGGCGAAGGCAGCUUUCUGGACCAAUACUGACGCUGAGGUACGAAAGCGUGGGUAGCAAACAGGAUUAGAUACCCUGGUAGUCCACGCCGUAAACGAUGAUAACUAGCCGUUGGGGGGAUUUACCCUUUAGUGGCGAAGCUAACGCGUUAAGUUAUCCGCCUGGGGAGUACGGCCGCAAGGUUAAAACUCAAAGGAAUUGACGGGGACCCGCACAAGCGGUGGAGCAUGUGGUUUAAUUCGAUGCAACGCGAAGAACCUUACCUGGUCUUGACAUCCUGCGAACUUUCUAGAAAUAGAUUGGUGCCUUCGGGAACGCAGUGACAGGUGCUGCAUGGCUGUCGUCAGCUCGUGUCGUGAGAUGUUGGGUUAAGUCCCGUAACGAGCGCAACCCCUAUCCUUAUUUGCCAGCACGUCAUGGUGGGAACUAUAAGGAGACUGCCGGUGAUAAACCGGAGGAAGGCGGGGACGACGUCAAGUCAUCAUGGCCCUUACGACCAGGGCUACACACGUGCUACAAUGGGAAGGACAAAGAGCCGCGAAGCCGCGAGGUGUAGCUAAUCUCAGAAACCUUUUCGUAGUCCGGAUUGGAGUCUGCAACUCGACUCCAUGAAGUCGGAAUCGCUAGUAAUCGUAGAUCAGAAUGCUACGGUGAAUACGUUCCCGGGUCUUGCACUCACCGCCCGUCA